rnacentral:rRNA from 1 species
CUUGCUCCAUGAUUCAGCGGCGGACGGGUGAGUAAUGCCUAGGAAUCUGCCUUUUGGUUCGGAACAACACGGGGAAACCUGUGCUAAUACCGGAUAAGUCCUAACGGAGAAAGUUUUAAUGCCAAAAGAUGAGCCCGCAUUUGAUUAGCUAGUUGGUAAGGUAAAAGCUUACCAAGGCGACAAUCAAUAGCUGAUUUGAGAGGAUGAUCAGCCACACUGGGACUGAGAUACGGCCCAGACUCC